GCGUAUGAAGGGAGCUUGCUCCUGGAUUCAGCGGACGGACGGGUGAGUAAUGCCUAGGAAUCUGCCUGGUAGUGGGGGAUAACGUCCGGAAACGGGCGCUAAUACCGCAUACGUCCUGAGGGAGAAAGUGGGGGAUCUUCGGACCUCACGCUAUCAGAUGAGCCUAGGUCGGAUUAGCUAGUUGGUGGGGUAAAGGCCUACCAAGGCGACGAUCCGUAACUGGUCUGAGAGGAUGAUCAGUCACACUGGAACUGAGACACGGUCCAGACUCCUACGGGAGGCAGCAGUGGGGAAUAUUGGACAAUGGGCGAAAGCCUGAUCCAGCCAUGCCGCGUGUGUGAAGAAGGUCUUCGGAUUGUAAAGCACUUUAAGUUGGGAGGAAGGGCAGUAAGUUAAUACCUUGCUGUUUUGACGUUACCAACAGAAUAAGCACCGGCUAACUUCGUGCCAGCAGCCGCGGUAAUACGAAGGGUGCAAGCGUUAAUCGGAAUUACUGGGCGUAAAGCGCGCGUAGGUGGUUCAGCAAGUUGGAUGUGAAAUCCCCGGGCUCAACCUGGGAACUGCAUCCAAAACUACUGAGCUAGAGUACGGUAGAGGGUGGUGGAAUUUCCUGUGUAGCGGUGAAAUGCGUAGAUAUAGGAAGGAACACCAGUGGCGAAGGCGACCACCUGGACUGAUACUGACACUGAGGUGCGAAAGCGUGGGGAGCAAACAGGAUUAGAUACCCUGGUAGUCCACGCCGUAAACGAUGUCGACUAGCCGUUGGGAUCCUUGAGAUCUUAGUGGCGCAGCUAACGCGAUAAGUCGACCGCCUGGGGAGUACGGCCGCAAGGUUAAAACUCAAAUGAAUUGACGGGGGCCCGCACAAGCGGUGGAACAUGUGGUUUAAUUCGAAGCAACGCGAAGAACCUUACCUGGCCUUGACAUGCUGAGAACUUUCCAAAGAUGGAUUGGUGCCUUCGGGAACUCAGACCCGG
rnacentral:rRNA from 1 species